rnacentral:lncRNA from 1 species
GAAGAAGAAGAAGAAGAAGAAGAAGAAGAAGAAGAAGAAGAAGAAGAAGAAGAAGAAAAUGGCAUAAGAAUCUUGGUUAGCUCAUGAAUAUUAGAUACUUAGCUUGUUUUCCUCUAAAAUGGGAUAAUUAGCCCAUUUAGCUCCAAAAAGACAUAAUUAGGUAAUUUUGCUCCAACAAGAGGAGAAGAGGAGAAGAAAUAGG